CACAAUGGCAGCACAUGUAAGUAAAACUUUUCCGGGUUCAUGUUUUCACUAAGUGCUUCCCUGCAGUCGUUCACUGUUUGAGAACACAUGGGAUAUAUUGGCUUAUUUCAGUGUCUGCAAAGCAGUGGCCAAAGCCUUUACCACCUCAGAGAACUGAUCCGAUGGAGAGAUGUUCAGUUCACUGAAGUAUUUUUUAUAAAGGCAGCUAGACUAUGGAGACAAGCUGCAUAGAUUUAUUCAUGGAAGCAUUUCAGAUCUUAGCGUACACAUUUGUGAGCUUGAUUUCCUACCAUGCAUCACAACAGUUAAGAGUAUAUUUUAACCAGAGAUAUAGUCUAUCUGUGAAAUAUGUAUUUUGUCAAUUAUGGCUGCAGUUUGUAUGCAAUUUUAGAGUGCUUUUUUUUUCUUUUUUUUUUCCUUUUAACUGAUUUUGGAAUGGUAUCAUGGGCAGUAAAUUAGGUAGAUGCAGAUUUUUCUGAAAUGGUUGCUAAAACCAAAUAUACAGUAUUUGUCAUGUGAAGCAUAGAAAAAAAAUCCUUUAAUAGUAUUUGUGACUUUGCAUUCUAUUCAGUUGCAAGCACAAAGAUUAUCUGGAAUAUAUCAGAGCGAAUGUAAUCAAAAUAAAGUACGCAGACAGAAAGAAGGCAGCAAAAAGAGCUUGGUGUUUUUGAUCUAAACUCAAACUUAGUUAUCUGCACAUUGAUAUUUUGUGUAGCUGUGGAUUGUAAAGGGUAUGUGGUUGCCUAUUUUGUUAGUAAUGGUCACAACAUGAUAUCUUAUACAUAAGUAGACCAGCCAUUUUGCAGUAUCUCUGCUAACAGUGAAUGCAUAAACAAAACACAGAUGUUUUCAUUUUGUAUAACCUGAUACUUAGUGGGCACAGGUUGACUAACCACUGCCCAUCCCUGACCACACUGCAGCUGUAUCCAGCUGUGAUAAUAAAAAAAUGUUCCUGCCAUUCAGUGAGCAGAAAUCUCAAAUGCUAACUCAGCUAGUUAAAAAGCUUGCUUAAAUCAAACUGUAGUGUAGACUUGGAUGGAUAUGGUUUCUCCUGGAUUUGAGUUUUUCAGUGGAGAGCUGAAGCCAGUUAGAGGUACACUGUCUUCUUCUCAUUGUCUAGUUUUGCCUGCUGACAGAGAAUUCAUUGCAACUGGAUAUUUCUCCUGUUUCAGAGGGGAUAUGCUUGAAGAUUCCAAGGAAAUGUUAUUACUUUUUCUUACUCAGUUUCUGUGCCCUAGUAACUCGAGGGUAUAAUACAGAAUGAAGUGUCUCUUUUCAACUGGAAACAGAACUGGAACAAUAUGGUCUUUUCAGAAGAAGACUAGGAACCUCCAUGUUUUUGUUGACACUUUGGUUUACAAUUUUUUAUUUGCUUUCACAAUGAAAACUAAUAUGACGGUGAGACUUUGGGAGAAGAAUGAAGAGUGAAUGUGUAUGUUCUGCAUCUUUUAUUCAUUUCUGUUUUCAGUAGUGGGACAGUGGACUGCAAGGCAAACUGACAUUUGUAGCCAAACUUCCUCAAACCAUUUUCUCAGUGAGUUUCAGUUUGAACAGUGGGGUUGAUGAAAUCUGUGGUCAACAGAGGACCCUACUCUUUGCCAGUGUGCAUCCUGAGCCUCAUUGGUGUAAUUUCGGUGAAGCUUGAGAGGGUUGUUCUGUGAGCUUCUCCACUCUACUUGUAAGAACGGAAUUUAUAGUGCAAAAAUAUGUCAGCUUAAUCUAUCUUCAAACAACAUUGGUGGUGUUAAACAUUGUUCAAUCACAUGGAAGAAGCGCAACAUCUACUAUACAGAGGUGAUUUGGGACAGAGGAGCAAAACAUACAAGUGAAUAGAAAGAUCUGUGCAGUUAUUUGUGACUGUGAAGAAAUGAACGGCCCUUGGAGAAAUCCAGAUGAAGUUCAGAUGUUUACUUGGAGCCAGUCAUUUUGGAUUUAACCAUGAAAAGAAGAAAUAUAAUCUCAUAGUAUACAAAGACUCUCUUUCAUUUCCUCUAGUAUUUGCAAAAACACUUUAUAGUAAGCUGAUUUUAAAGUCUGGGUAUUAGUUUCAUAGGGUUCCCUCCAUACCCUUUAAGGACUGUUUCAUUGGUCAAACAUUUAUGAAGUUCAGUAAAUGUCUGAUGAAAGCUGAAGAUGUUGUAAAUGGAUCCUGUGUAAUGGGUGAGUUUCACAAUAAUGAAGUGUAAUUGAAUAGCAGGCAAGUAAUUCCUCCUUUAACUUCCUCAGUCCAGGGUGAGAGCAGUACAUGCAUACCUCCCCAAGACCUUCCUUACAAGGCAUGGUAAGCCUAUCUCACAAAGCACAGUGGGUGUCAUGAGAAGGUACUCUGGAAAAUCUCAUUAAGAAUCUAUUUGCACAGGCAUUAAAAGUUGCCCCUACAUGUAGGUUUAAGUCUGUAUGCACAAAUGCUUUGUCAGUGGUGCUAGAGAGAAAAGAAACAGCAGCUAGUCCACCAGACACAUACUGCACAGUACACACUUUGUGAGAACCACUGUUCACUGCAGAGAGCAAUUCCAGGUGUCCCCUCAGAUGCUGCAAUUCACAUAAACAUCUAUGCUGUGUGUUGGAGCAGGUGUAGAGGUGAGAAGGGAAGGGAAGAAGAGGAAAGGUGAGAGAAGGAAGAGAAAAUAAGGAAAGGAAAGGG
rnacentral:lncRNA from 1 species